UCAAGCUAAUAAGAGCAUAAGGUGAAUGCCUUGGCAUCAAGAACCGAUGAAGGACGUAAAAAGCUGCGAUAAGCUUCGGGGAGGCGCACAUAGCCAACGAUCCGGAGAUUUCCGAAUGGGGAAACCUAGCUGAGAAAAGCUCAGUUGGCGUACAGUGAAUCAAUAGCUGUGCGUAGGGAACGCUCUGAACUGAAACAUCUAAGUAGGAGCAGGAAGAGAAAGAAACAUCGAUUUCCUAAGUAGUGGCGAACGAACGGGAAACAGGCCAAACCGAGAUACAUGUAUUUCGGGGUUGUGGACUACAUCAUGUGAUGGAGGUAAGGUAGUAGAAUUGUUUUGGGAAAGCAAGCCAAAGAAAGUGAAAGCCUUGUAUACGAAACCUGAAGACCCACAGUAGUAUCCAGAGUACAUCGGGACACGUGAAACCCUGAUGGAAGCCGGAGGGACCACCCUCCAAGCCUAAAUAUUCCUUGAUGACCGAUAGCGAAGAAGUACUGUGAAGGAAAGGUGAAAAGAACCCCGGGAGGGGAGUGAAAGAGAACCUGAAACCUUAUGUUUACAAACAGUCGAAGUUUUUCGGAACGACGGCGUACUUUUUGUAGAACGGUCCGGCGAGUUGCAGUGACAUGCGAGGUUAAGGAGUACAGCUCCGGAGCCGAAGGGAAACCAAGUCUUAACUGGGCGUCUAGUAUGUUAAUGCAGACCCGAAACCGGGUGACCUAUCCAUGGGCAGGUUGAAGUUACCGUAAAAGGUAAUGGAGGACCGAACUCACAUCUGUUGAAAAAGGUGGAGAUGACCUGUGGAUAGCGGAGAAAUUCCAAUCGAACUCGGAGAUAGCUGGUUCUCCUCGAAAUAGCUUUAGGGCUAGCCUUGAGGUAAAGUCUAAUGGAGGUAAAGCACUGAUUGGACGCGGGUCCCCAAAAGGAUACCAACUUCUAUCAAACUCAGAAUGCCAUAUAGAUAUACUCAGGAGUCAGACUAUGUGAGAUAAGUUUCAUAGUCAAAAGGGAAAGAGCCCAGACCGACAGCUAAGGUCCCAAAGUGUGUGUUAAGUGGAAAAGGAUGUUAGGUUUCUAAGACAACUAGGAUGUUGGCUCAGAAGCAGCCACUCAUUUAAAGAGUGCGUAACAGCUCACUAGUCGAGAGGUCUAGCGCCGAAAAUGUCCGGGGCUAAAACACACCACCGAAGCUACGGAAUUACCUAUGGUAAUUGGUAGAGGAGCAUUCUGUAAGGACGAAGCACAAUUGAAAGAGAGUGUGGACGAAACAGAAGAGAGAAUGCCGGAAUGAGUAGCGAGAUAUAUGUGAGAAUCAUAUAGGUCGAAUGUCUAAGGUUUCCUGGGUAAAGCUGAUCUGCUCAGGGUAAGUCGGGACCUAAGGUGAGGGCGAGAGCCGUAAUCGAUGGACAACAGGUAGAAAUUCCUGUACUACGUAUAAUCAGAACUGUGGGGACGCAGGAGGAUAGGAAAACCGGAGAAUGGAAAUAUCCGGCUAAGUACAAAGGUGUGAGUGAUAGGCAAAUCCGUCACUAUAAGCUGAAGUACGAAUGGGAGCGAAGAAAAGUAGCGAAGUUUCUGAAUCCACACUGUCAAGAAAAGCCGCUAUUGCGUUAUACGUACCCGUACCGCAAACCGACACAGGUAGACGAGGAGAAAAUCCACAGACCGACGGGAGAAGUGUUGUUAAGGAACUCGGCAAAAUGACCCCGUAACUUAGGGAUAAGGGGAGCCAACGCAAGUUGGUCACAGAAAAGAGGCUCAAGCGACUGUUUAGCAAAAACAUAGGUCUAUGCGAAACCGUAAGGUGAUGUAUAUGGGCUGACACCUGCCCGGUGCUGGAAGGUCAAAAGGAGAGGUUAGCGUAAGCGAAGCUUUGAAUUCAAGCCCCAGUAAACGGCGGCCGUAACUAUAACGGUCCUAAGGUAGCGAAAUUCCUUGUCAGGUAAGUUCUGACCCGC
rnacentral:rRNA from 1 species